rnacentral:rRNA from 1 species
GAUGAACGCUGGCGGCGUGCCUAAUACAUGCAAGUCGAGCGAACAGACGAGGAGCUUGCUCCUCUGACGUUAGCGGCGGACGGGUGAGUAACACGUGGAUAACCUACCUAUAAGACUGGGAUAACUUCGGGAAACCGGAGCUAAUACCGGAUAAUAUAUUGAACCGCAUGGUUCAAUAGUGAAAGACGGUUUUGCUGUCACUUAUAGAUGGAUCCGCGCCGCAUUAGCGAGUUGGUAAGGUAACGGCUUACCAAGGCAACGAUGCGUAGCCGACCUGAGAGGGUGCUCGGCCACACUGGAACUGAGACACGGUCCAGACUCCUACGGGAGGCCGCCGUAGGGAAUCUUCCGCGAUGGGCGAAAGCCUGACGGCGCAACGCCGCGUGAGUGAUGAAGGUCUUCGGAUCGUAAAACUCUGUUAUUAGGGAAGAACAAAUGUGUAAGUAACUAUGCACGUCUUGACGGUACCUAAUCAGAAAGCCCCGGCUAACUACGUG